GCGGGUGUAGCUCAGUGGCUAGAGCAUCACGUUGCCAACGUGAAUGUCGAGGGUUCGAAUCCCUUCACCCGCU
rnacentral:tRNA from 2 species